rnacentral:rRNA from 1 species
CGGAGGGUGCGAGCGUUGUUCGGAAUUAUUGGGCGUAAAGCGCGUGUAGGCGGUUUUUUAAGUCUGAUGUGAAAGCCCCGGGCUCAACCUGGGAAGUGCAUUGGAAACUGGGAGACUUGAGUACGGGAGAGGGUAGUGGAAUUCCUGGUGUAGGAGUGAAAUCCGUAGAUAUCAGGAGGAACACCGGUGGCGAAGGCGGCUACCUGGACCGAUACUGACGCUGAGACGCGAAAGCGUGGGGAGCAAACAGGAUUAGAUACCCUGGUAGUCCACGCCGUAAACGAUGAGUACUAGGUGUCGCGGGUAUUGACCCCUGCGGUGCCGCAGCCAACGCAUUAAGUACUCCGCCUGGGAAGUACGGCCGCAAGGCUA